AUUGAACGCUGGCGGCAGGCCUAACACAUGCAAGUCGAACGAGUGGCGGACGGGUGAGUAAUGUCUGGGAAACUGCCUGCUAGAGGGGGAUAACUACUGGAAACGGUGGCUAAUACCGCAUACCAUCAGAUGUGCCCAUAUGGGAUUAGCUUGUUGGGGGGGUAACGGCUCACCAAGGCGACGAUCCCUAGCUGGUCUGAGAGGAUGAACAGCCCCACUGGAACUGAGACACGGCCCAGACUCCUACGGGAGGCAGAAGUGGGGAAUAUUGCACAAGGUGCGCAAGCCUGAUGCAGCCAUGCCGCGUGUAUGAAGAAGGCCUUCGGGUUGUAAAGUACUUUCAGCGGGGAGGCGUUACCCGCAGAAGAAGCACCGGCUAACUCCGUGCCAGCAGCCGCGGUAAUAC
rnacentral:rRNA from 1 species